CUUAGUUAAAUACUGACAUGUCUGUGCCCUGAGAGCAUCACCCAACAGCCACUCCUUCCCACACAGAAGCCCUGAGAGCACAGCCCCUCAGCAUGGACUGGAGCUGGAGCAUCCUCUUCUUGGUGGCAGUGGCUGCAGGUGUCUCCUCCGAGGUCCAGCUGGUGCAGUCUGGGGCUGAGGUGAAGAAGCCAGGGGCAUCCGUGAAGGUCUCCUGCAAGGCUUCUGGAGACAGCUUCACUUAUUACUCUAUGAGCUGGGUGCGACAGGCCCCUGGACAAGGGCUUGAGUGGACGGGAUAUAUCUAUCCUGAAUAUGAUGCUAUGGGCUACCCGCAGAAGUUCCAGGGCAGAGUCACCAUGACUGCGGACAAGUCCACGAGCACAGUCUACAUGGAGCUGAGCAGUCUGGCAUCUGAGGACACAGCCGUGUAUUACUGUGCAACAGACACAGUGUGAUAACCCACAUCCUGAGCGUGUCAGAAACCCUGAGGGAGACGGCAGCUGUGCUGGGUGGAGGCGAUGCAGGGAGCAUGAUUCAUUUCUUGGCUUCCUUAGAAAACAGGGUUAGAAAUUGAGUAAAAGGAA